rnacentral:rRNA from 1 species
UACGUAGGGGGCGAGCGUUAUCCGGAUUUACUGGGUGUAAAGGGAGCGUAGACGGCCAUGCAAGUUCGGUGUGAAAGGUGCGGGCACAACCCGCAGACUGCACUGAGAACUGUAUGGCUGGAGUGCCGGAGGGGCAGGCGGAAUUCCUGGUGUAGCGGUGAAAUGCGUAGAUAUCAGGAGGAACACCGGUGGCGAAGGCGGCCUGCUGGACGGCGACUGACGUUGAGGCUCGAAAGCGUGGGGAGCAAACAGG